rnacentral:rRNA from 1 species
UGCAAGUCGAACGGUAGACGUCUUUCGGGAUGUUGAGAGUGGCGCACGGGUGCGUAACGCGUAUGCAACCUACCUUUUACUGGUGGAUAGCCCGGAGAAAUUCGGAUUAAUACGCCAUGGUAUAAUUAGAAGGCAUCUUUUGAUUAUUAAAGAUUUAUUGGUAAAAGAUGGGCAUGCGUAGGAUUAGCUAGUUGGUGAGGUAACGGCUCACCAAGGCUACGAUCCUUAGGGGUUCUGAGAGGAUGAUCCCCCACACUGGUACUGAGACACGGACCAGACUCCUACGGGAGGCAGCAGUGAGGAAUAUUGGGCAAUGGGCGCAAGCCUGACCCAGCCAUGCCGCGUGCAGGAAGACGGCCCUAUGGGUUGUAAACUGCUUUUAUACGGGAAUAAACCUCUUUACGAGUAGAGAGUUGAAGGUACCGUAAGAAUAAGCACCGGCUAACUCCGUGCCAGCAGCCGCGGUAAUACGGAGGGUGCGAGCGUUAUCCGGAUUUAUUGGGUUUAAAGGGUCCGUAGGCGGGCGAUUAAGUCAGUGGUGAAAUCCCAUAGCUCAACUAUGGAACUGCCAUUGAUACUGGUUGUCUUGAGUUUGUUUGAAGUGGAUGGAAUGAGUCAUGUAGCGGUGAAAUGCAUAGAUAUGCCUCAGAACACCUAUUGCGAAGGCAGUUCACUAAGACACAACUGACGCUGAUGGACGAAAGCGUGGGGAGCAAACAGGAUUAGAUACCCUGGUAGUCCACGCUGUAAACGAUGAUCACUCGCUGUUGGCGAUACACAGUCAGCGGCCAAGCGAAAGCAUUAAGUGAUCCACCUGGGGAGUACGGUCGCAAGACUGAAACUCAAAGGAAUUGACGGGGGCCCGCACAAGCGGUGGAGCAUGUGGUUUAAUUCGAUGAUACGCGAGGAACCUUACC